rnacentral:rRNA from 1 species
GCUCAGAACGAACGCUGGCGGCGCGCCUAAUACAUGCAAGUCGAACGAGAAUGUGUAGCAAUACACAUGUACAGUGGCGAACGGGUGAGGAAUACAUGGGUAACCUACCCUCGAGUGGGGAAUAACUAGCCGAAAGGUUAGCUAAUACCGCGUACGCCUCCUGGACUGCGGUUCGGGAGGGAAAGCGAUACCGUGGGUAUCGCGCUCUUGGAUGGGCUCAUGUCCUAUCAGCUUGUUGGUGAGGUAACGGCUCACCAAGGCUUCGACGGGUAGCUGAUCUGAGAGGAUGAUCAGCCACACUGGCACUGCGACACGGGCCAGACUCCUACGGGAGGCAGCAGUAAGGAAUAUUGCGCAAUGGGCGAAAGCCUGACGCAGCGACGCCGCGUGGGGGAUGAAGGUCUUCGGAUUGUAAACCCCUUUCGGGAGGGAAGAUGGGAUGGGGUAACCCAUUCGGACGGUACCUCCAGAAGCAGCCACGGCUAACUUCGUGCCAGCAGCCGCGGUAAUACGAAGGUGGCAAGCGUUGUUCGGAUUUACUGGGCGUACAGGGAGCGUAGGCGGUUGGGUAAGCCCUCCGUGAAAUCUCCAGGCUUAACCUGGAAAGUGCAGAGGGGACUGCUCAGCUAGAGGAUGGGAGAGGAGCGCGGAAUUCCCGGUGUAGCGGUGAAAUGCGUAGAGAUCGGGAGGAAGGCCGGUGGCGAAGGCGGCGCUCUGGAACAUUUCUGACGCUGAGGCUCGAAAGCGUGGGGAGCAAACAGGAUUAGAUACCCUGGUAGUCCACGCCUUAAACGAUGGAUACUAAGUGUCGGCGGGUUACCGCCGGUGCCGCAGCUAACGCAGUAAGUAUCCCGCCUGGGAAGUACGGCCGC